rnacentral:rRNA from 1 species
CGGGUGAGUAACGCGUGGGUAACCUGCCCUAUACACAUGGAUAACAUACUGAAAAGUUUACUAAUACAUGAUAAUAUAUAUUUACGGCAUCGUAGAUAUAUCAAAGUGUUAGCGGUAUAGGAUGGACCCGCGUCUGAUUAGCUAGUUGGUGAGAUAACUGCCCACCAAGGCGACGAUCAGUAGCCGACCUGAGAGGGUGAUCGGCCACAUUGGAACUGAGACACGGUCCAAACUCCUACGGGAGGCAGCAGGG